GACGAACGCUGGCGGCGUGCCUAACACAUGCAAGUCGAGCGGAGAUAAGCGGAUGGUAACUGAAGUUUGUCUUAGCGGCGGACGGGUGAGUAACACGUGGGCAACCUGCCUUGGAGUGGGGGAGUAAACACCGGGAAAUCGGUGCUAAUACCGCAUAACAUACACAUACUGCAUGGUGAGUGUAUCAAAGGAGCAAUCCGCUUUAAGAUGGGCCCGCGGCUGAUUAGCUAGUUGGUAAGGUAACGGCUUACCAAGGCGACGAUCAGUAGCCGACCUGAGAGGGUGACCGGCCACACUGGAACUGAGACACGGUCCAGACUCCUACGGGAGGCAGCAGUGGGGAAUAUUGCGCAAUGGGGGAAACCCUGACGCAGCAACGCCGCGUGAGGGACGAAGGCCCUUGGGUCGUAAACCUCUUUUGCAGGGGAAGAAGAAGAUGACGGUACCUUGCGAACAAGUCCCGGCUAACUACGUG
rnacentral:rRNA from 1 species